rnacentral:rRNA from 1 species
UACGAACCGUACAAACGUUAUUCGGAAUCACUGGGCUUAAAGGGUGCGUAGGCGGCCUGUUAAGUAGGGUGUGAAAUGCCAGAGCUCAACUUUGGCAUUGCGCUCUAGACUGGCUGGCUUGAGUGAGAUAGGGGUGUGCGGAACUUCCAGUGGAGCGGUGAAAUGUGUUGAUAUUGGAAGGAACGCCGGUGGCGAAAGCGGCACACUGGGUCUUAACUGACGCUGAGGCACGAAAGCCAGGGGAGCGAACGGG